CGUAGGUGAACCUGCGGAAGGAUCAUUACUGAGUGAGGGCCCUCUGGGUCCAACCUCCCACCCGUGUUUAUUGUACCUUGUUGCUUCGGUGCGCCCGCCUCACGGCCGCCGGGGGGCUUCUGCCCCCGGGUCCGCGCGCACCGGAGACACCAUUGAACUCUGUCUGAAGAUUGCAGUCUGAGCAUAAACUAAAUAAGUUAAAACUUUCAACAACGGAUCUCUUGGUUCCG
rnacentral:misc_RNA from 1 species